UACGUAUGGUGCAGGCGUUAUCCGGAUUUACUGGGCGUAAAGGGAGCGCAGGCGGCGCGCCAAGUCUGAUGUGAAACCCCGGGGCUCAACCCCGGGCAUGCAUUGGAAACUGGCGGGCUGGAGUGCCGGAGAGGUAAGCGGAAUUCCUAGUGUAGCGGUGAAAUGCGUAGAUAUUAGGAGGAACACCAGUGGCGAAGGCGGCUUACUGGACGGCAACUGACGCUGAAGCUCGAAAGCGUGGGGAGCAAACAGG
rnacentral:rRNA from 1 species